rnacentral:sRNA from 1 species
UGCUUACUUUGUUUUCUUUGAAAGGGUGAUAGUGCCUCUAGAAGGUUUGGCCGUGAUCGUAUGGUGGUCAGUUGACCUCAUAGAAUCUCCCCCUGGAGAUGAGUGGUACGAAUUUGGCAGAGAAACUUUCCUAACUACGAUAGUACAGUGGUUAGGUCUCUUGAUACUUAUCAUCCUGACAAACAUUCUGGUGAGCUGCGUCUGCCACUGGAGAAAGAAGAAAAGAGAUCAAGAAGGGGCCCCAGUACUGACCAGAUACAGUCCCAACUACUCAGCCACGAGGGAAAACCCCUUCAGGCAACAGGAUCAAGCAAAUCUAUAAACAAAAUGGCACCUUAUUUGUUUCCGUGUGUACCAGCAGGCUAUUAGCCAUGCUGUAACUUGCAGCCACUGACUCUACACAUGUUCAUUUCUUAAUUAACUGAUGUAGACAAAAUGGUUCUUUUGACCCAGGUUACUAUUACUGUGUAUAUUUAAAUUGAAAUAUACUGUCCAUAUAGCGAAUCAACUAGCUUUUGUCUGUGCUGCUGUUACAAUAUAAUAUUUUAUUAUAAUCAUUUUACAUUAAAUUCAAAAUUACUUCAAUCUUUGAUGGUUUGUCAAUGUCUUUAGUUCAAUUCCAUCAUUAAAACCUUGUAUUGCCUGUAACAUUGACUUGAAUACCGCACUAACUAAAAAAAAAAAUUCUUACGGAAAAUACUCAUCUAUGGUGGAUAACUUUAAAUAGCUAUUUGGUGUAUCCAGUUCCAGUUGUACAGAAAAAUAGGAACUGUUGGUAUUAUAACAUUUACAAGCACUUUCAGUUGUAGCAAAAGUAAGUUUAUUAUUUUAUUUAGUAGGCUACAGUGAUAUUAGAAUGUAGAAACUAUUCCUGAACAUUGUCCAUAAGAGAUUAACCUAAUCUCAAUACUAAACAGCUUGGCAGCCCUAGUUUCUGAGCAUGUAAACUUGCAGGCCUAUGAAAUGUUGCUUUAUAAAUAUGUUUACUGUAACUCAUUGUCCACUUACUGGGUUGACCAAAUAAUGAAACACUAAAGUGAAAAAAAAAUGUUUUUCUAAAAUGUUUUGGAUGUCCUUUCAGAGUUGAAGAUAAUUUAAUUCCUAGUCCAAACCUCCCGCAGGUCGACGAGGGAUGAGAGCUGGCAGGGUUUGAACCAGGGACCAUUGAUAAAUCCGAACGACCAGGCAGCCAUCCUAGUAAAGUAAAGUUCCUUUUUAUGACCUUGUGAUCUAUAGGGCAGAUGAUGCAAAGCUCAUCUGUUUCUAUGGCAAACGAGGGUGUCAUGUGGCGAGCACAACGACUAACCACCUUACUUUUCCCCAACUAAUGUCAGGUACCCGCAAUGUAAAAACAGACUAAUAAACAUCAUUUAUUUUACAUACAUUUUGAAAAACAUAAUAAUACUAGAUUACAAUAUGAAUUUCAGUACAUACUAAGUUUAGAAUGUUAAAUACAAUUGAAUGCUAAGUAGUAAAUUACAUCAUCAUCUCUGACAAACAAAUCUGCUGAGUUGAACAGUCAUCUGAUAUCUUUUAUUGAGUAGGUAUGGUUAUAAUGAAAGGUGUUACUUAAUUUCUUAACUUUGGCUACUGCAUUCAAAUAUAAAUAAAAUCUUAUGGAAUAAGAUAACAUAUUAACCAAAAAAAACUGUUACUAAAAGGCAAAUAUCACAAAGGGCUGCACUAUGUCUAUGCCGAAUCCCACUGCCGUCUC